AUCCAUAGCCUGGGCUUACAUGUUCUAUAGUAACAGAAAUGGUACAUGAAAAUUGUGUGUGGAGAAAGGCUGGCAGCUUUACAGAGGAAAUUUCAGAACCUGUACAUAAGUGAGACAGGCUCGAGAGGCACGGACUCCGAUGUCUCGUGGGAGCAGUCCUUGAACCCGAUUGUCAGAGAUCUGAAGGUGCCUAAUCUCCUGCAGAACUGAGCAGAACUUCAUGUUCCUAAGUGGGAUUCAAUUCAUGCUGUUUGGCUGAUCGAUGGCCAUGAGUGUUCCAUGUGUAAGUAGUUAUAAACACUUUGUUUUAUUCAUGUUGCUUUUUAUCACAGAACAUAGUUUGUAUUGAGGAACACUCCAGGUGGACCAUGGCCCUUGCAUUCCACCCCAGUGAGAGGUGCUUUCAAAGGCCCUUUUGUUGCUCCAUCAGUGCAAGGCCUAAACAUAUUCCAUAAACAAUCUUACAGGAUUAGAGAGUAACUGGAGUCAGAGAGAAUAUGGUAAAUUAUGUUAGGAACAGGUACAAGACUGGUGAUCCUUGAGGGACCCUCUGCAACUCUGCCUGUGGCAGCAUGUCUUCUUGCAAUCAUCUCUUCAGCUCUGGUGUUGUUGCCUAAAGCCAUGUGGUAGAUUUAUGCAUUGAAUUGUCUUGUCUUUAAAGAUAUCUAGCUGCUUUCAAACCAGUAUCGUUAACUUUCUACCUAAUGAAGCUGAAUAAAAUGAAAGAUGUUUGUUCUUGGUCGGCUUCUUCCAUGAUCUGGGAUGCAUCUGGGAAUUCAAUCUCUUCUUAGAAUUACCUAAAUAUUUCUGAGUGCCAAAUAUAACCAACUGAAAUG